rnacentral:rRNA from 1 species
CACGUAGGAGGCGAGCGUUGUCCGGAAUCAUUGGGCGUAAAGAGCGCGCAGGCGGCUUGGCAAGUCGGGUGUGAAAUCCCGGGGCUCAACCCCGUGACUGCAUCCGAUACUGUCAGGCUAGAGGUAGGUAGGGGAGAUCGGAAUUCCUGGUGUAGCGGUGAAAUGCGCAGAUAUCAGGAGGAACACCGGUGGCGAAGGCGGAUCUCUGGGCCAUUACUGACGCUGAGGAGCGAAAGCGUGGGGAGCGAACAGG